rnacentral:pre_miRNA from 1 species
GGAAAGCGCCGAAUAAACAAGGACGAAGAAGGGGACGGAGACGGAGCGCUUCGUCUCUGCCCCCUUCUUCGUCCUCGUUUAUUCGGCGCUUUAA